rnacentral:rRNA from 1 species
GGCAGCCGCCGCGGGAACACCGGCGGCCCGAGUGGUGAUCGUGAUUAUUGGGUCUAAAGGGUCCGUAGCCGGUUUGGUCAGUCCUCCGGGAAAUCUGAUAGCUCAACUAUUAGGCUUUCGGGGGAUACUGCCAGACUUGGAACCGGGAGAGGUAAGAGGUACUACAGGGGUAGGAGUGAAAUCUUGUAAUCCCUGUGGGACCACCUGUGGCGAAGGCGUCUUACCAGAACGGGUUCGACGGUGAGGGACGAAAGCUGGGGGCACGAACCGGAUUAGAUACCCGGGUAGUCCCAGCCGUAAACGAUGCUCGCUAGGUGUCAGGCAUGGCGCGACCGUGUCUGGUGCCGCAGGGAAGCCGUGAAGCGGGCCACCUGGGAAGUACGGCCGCAAGGCUGAAACUUAAAGGAAUUGGCGGGGGAGCACAACAACGGGUGGAAGCCUGCGGUUUAAUUGGACUCAACGCCGGACAACUCACCGGGGGCGACAGCAAUAUGUAGGCCAAGCUGAAGACUUUGCCUGAAUCGCUGAGAAGAGGUGCAUGG